rnacentral:rRNA from 1 species
GACGAACGCUGGCGGCGUGCUUAACACAUGCAAGUCGAACGGAAAGGCCCUGCUUUUGUGGGGUGCUCGAGUGGCGAACGGGUGAGUAACACGUGAGUAACCUGCCCUUGACUUUGGGAUAACUUCAGGAAACUGGGGCUAAUACCGGAUAGGAGCUCCUGCUGCAUGGUGGGGGUUGGAAAGUUUCGGCGGUUGGGGAUGGACUCGCGGCUUAUCAGCUUGUUGGUGGGGUAGUGGCUUACCAAGGCUUUGACGGGUAGCCGGCCUGAGAGGGUGACCGGGCACAAUGGGCCUGAGAUACGGCCCAGACUGCUACGGGAGGCAGCAGGGGGGAAUAUUGCACAAUGGGCGGAAGCCUGAUGCAGCAACGCCGCGUGCGGGAUGACGGCCUUCGGGUUGUAAACCGCUUUCGCAUGUGACGAAGCGUGAGUGACGGUAAUGGGUAAAGAAGCACCGGCUAACUACGUG